rnacentral:rRNA from 1 species
UACGAAGGGGGCUAGCGUUGUUCGGAAUUACUGGGCGUAAAGCGCACGUAGGCGGGUUGUUAAGUCAGGGGUGAAAUCCUGGAGCUCAACUCCAGAACUGCCUUUGAUACUGGCAACCUAGAGACUGGAAGAGGUUAGUGGAAUUCCCAGUGUAGAGGUGAAAUUCGUAGAUAUUGGGAAGAACACCAGUGGCGAAGGCGGGUCUCUGGGCAGUUCCUGACGCUGAGGCACGAAGGCCAGGGGAGCAAACGGG